AAUGAACGCUGGCGGCGUGCCUAACACAUGCAAGUCGAACGAGAAAGUCUCUUCGGAGAUGAGUACAGUGGCGGACGGGUGAGUAACGCGUGAGAAUUUACCCUUUAGUGAGGAAUAACUUUGAGAAAUUGAAGGUAAUACCGCAUAAGCCCCAAGGGGGAAAGGUGGCCUCUUGCUGCCGCUAAAGGAUAAGCUUGCGUACUAUUAGCUAGUUGGUAGGGUAAAGGCCUACCAAGGCGAUGAUGGUUAGCCGGCCUGAGAGGGUGUUCGGCCACAUUGGAACUUAGACACGGUCCAAACUCCUACGGGAGGCAGCAGUGAGGAAUAUUGCGCAAUGGACGAAAGUCUGACGCAGCGACGCCGCGUGGAGGAUGAAGGUUUUCGGAUUGUAAACUCCUGUUAAGUGGGAAGAAAACCAUGCUUCUAAUAAAAGCGUGGAAUGACGGUACCACUAAAGAAAGCACCGGCUAACUUCGUG
rnacentral:rRNA from 1 species